rnacentral:snoRNA from 1 species
UGCUGUGUUGUCAGUGAUGCAUACUGUUGGAUCUGAUUCUAAAUUAUGACACAACAUUUCAUCACUACCACUGAGACAACAGAUA